rfam:Bacillus sp. KCTC 13219 scaffold10.1, whole genome shotgun sequence.
AACAGGAAAACAUUUUACCCGCAUAUAUGCUAAAGGAUAUGGCUUUAGUGUUUCUACCCGGUACCGUAAAUUCCGGACUAUGUUGGGAAGCAACUAUUCA